rnacentral:rRNA from 1 species
CCUACGGGAGGCAGCAGUAAGGAAUAUUGGUCAAUGGACGCAAGUCUGAACCAGCCAUGCCGCGUGCAGGAUGAAGGCCCUCUGGGUUGUAAACUGCUUUUAUAGGGGACGAAAAAGGGACUUUCUAGUUCAACUGACGGUACCCUAGGAAUAAGCACCGGCUAACUCCGUGCCAGCAGCCGCGGUAAUACGGAGGGUGCAAGCGUUAUCCGGAUUUACUGGGUUUAAAGGGUGCGUAGGUGGGUCGGUAAGUCAGCGGUGAAAUCUUCAAGCUUAACUUGGAAACUGCCAUUGAUACUAUCGAUCUUGAAUCAUCUGGAGGUAAGCGGAAUAUGUCAUGUAGCGGUGAAAUGCUUAGAUAUGACAUAGAACACCAAUUGCGAAGGCAGCUUACUACGGAUGUAUUGACACUGAGGCACGAAAGACGUGGGGAUCAAACAGGAUUAGAUACCCUGGUAGUCCACGCCCUAAACGAUGGAUACUCGACAUACGUGAUAUACUACGUGUGUCUGAGCGAAAGCAUUAAGUAAUCCCACCUGGAAGUACGAUCGCAAGAUUGAAACUCAAAGGAAAUUGAGG